rfam:Selaginella moellendorffii unplaced genomic scaffold SELMOscaffold_185, whole genome shotgun sequence.
UCGGUUAAGGGUCUUGGGAUACUUGGGGUUAAGUGUCCUUGGGUUUGAAUAAUACUGGGUUGGGUGACCUCCCGGGAAGUCCAAACCUUGAGAGAU